rnacentral:rRNA from 1 species
UACGGGGGGUGCGAGCGUUGUCCGGAAUCACUGGGCGUAAAGGGCGCGUAGGUGGUCUUAUAAGGGUGUGGUGAAAGCCCUCAGCUCAACUGAGGAAGUGCGCCCGAAACUGCAGAGCUUGAGUACCGGAGAGGAUGGCGGAAUUCCCCAAGUAGAGGUGAAAUUCGUAGAUAUCAGGAGGAACACCGAUGGCGAAGGCAGGUCUCUGGGCAUUAACUGACGCUGAGGAGCGAAAGCAUGGGGAGCGAACAGG